GUGCCAGCAGCCGCGGUAAUACGGAGGGUGCAAACGUUGCUCGGAAUCAUUGGGCGUAAAGCGCACGUAGGCGGUUCUGUAAGUCGGGCGUGAAAUCCCUCGGCUUAACCAAGGAAGUGCACUCGAAACUACAGAACUUGAAUACUGGAGAGGGUCGCAGAAUUCUCGGUGUAGAGGUGAAAUUCGUAGAUAUCGGGAGGAAUACCAGUGGCGAAGGCGGCGACCUGGUCAGAUAUUGACGCUGAGGUGCGAAAGCGUGGGGAGCAAACAGGAUUAGAAACCCCCGUAGUCC
rnacentral:rRNA from 1 species